rnacentral:rRNA from 1 species
AAGCCUGAUGCAGCAACGCCGCGUGAACGAUGAAGGUCUUCGGAUCGUAAAGUUCUGUUGCAGGGGAAGAUAAUGACGGUACCCUGUGAGGAAGCCCCGGCUAACUACGUGCCAGCAGCCGCGGUAAUACGUAGGGGGCUAGCGUUAUCCGGAUUUACUGGGCGUAAAGGGUGCGUAGGUGGUCCUUCAAGUCGGUGGUUAAAGGCUACGGCUCAACCGUAGUAAGCCGCCGAAACUGGAGGACUUGAGUGCAGGAGAGGAAAGUGGAAUUCCCAGUGUAGCGGUGAAAUGCGUAGAUAUUGGGAGGAACACCAGUAGCGAAGGCGGCUUUCUGGACUGCAACUGACACUGAGGCACGAAAGCGUGGGUAGCAACAGGAUU